rnacentral:rRNA from 1 species
UACGGAGGGGACUAGCGUUGUUCGGAAUUACUGGGCGUAAAGCGCACGUAGGCGGAUUUGUAAGUCAGGGGUGAAAUCCCGGGGCUCAACCUCGGAACUGCCUUUGAUACUGGAAAUCUCGAGUCCGGAAGAGGUGAGUGGAAUUCCUAGUGUAGAGGUGAAAUUCGUAGAUAUUAGGAAGAACACCAGUGGCGAAGGCGGCUCACUGGACCAUUACUGACGCUGAGGCUCGAAAGCUAGGGGAGCAAACAGG